AGAACGAACGCUGGCGGCAUGCCUAACACAUGCAAGUCGAACGUGAUCCAGGCUUCGGCCUGGUGAAAGUGGCAGACGGGUGAGUAACGCGUGGGAACCUGCCCUGUGGUAGGGAAUAACCGUGGGAAACUGCGGCUAAUACCCUAUGAGUCCUUCGGGAGAAAGAUUUAUCGCCAUAGGAGGGGCCCGCGUCGGAUUAGGUAGUUGGUGGGGUAACGGCCUACCAAGCCUUCGAUCCGUAGCUGGUCUGAGAGGAUGAUCAGCCACACUGGGACUGAGAUACGGCCCAGACUCCUACGGGAGGCAGCAGUGGGAAUAUUGGACAAUGGGGGCAACCCUGAUCCAGCAAUGCCGCGUGGAUGAUGAAGGCCUUCGGGUUGUAAAGUCCGUUCGGCGGGGAAGAUGAUGACGGUACCCGCAGAAGAAGCCCCGGCUAACUUCGUGCCAGCAGCCGC
rnacentral:rRNA from 1 species